rnacentral:rRNA from 1 species
GAUGAACGCUGGCGGCGUGCCUAAUACAUGCAAGUCGAGCGAACAGACGAGGAGCUUGCUCCUCUGACGUUAGCGGCGGACGGGUGAGUAACACGUGGAUAACCUACCUAUAAGACUGGGAUAACUUCGGGAAACCGGAGCUAAUACCGGAUAAUAUAUUGAACCGCAUGGUUCAAUAGUGAAAGACGGUUUUGCUGUCACUUAUAGAUGGAUCCGCGUCGCAUUAGCUAGUUGGUAAGGUAACGGCUUACCAAGGCAACGAUGCGUAGCCGACCUGAGAGGGUGAUCGGCCACACUGGAACUGAGACACGGUCCAGACUCCUACGGGAGGCGGCAGUAGGGAAUCUUCCGCAAUGGGCGAAAGCCUGACGGAGCAACGCCGCGUGAGUGAUGAAGGUCUUCGGAUCGUAAAACUCUGUUAUUAGGGAAGAACAAAUGUGUAAGUAACUAUGCACGUCUUGACGGUACCUAAUCAGAAAGCCACGGCUAACUACGUG